rnacentral:rRNA from 1 species
AUUGAACGCUGGCGGCAGGCCUAACACAUGCAAGUCGAGCGGAUGAAGGGAGCUUGCUCCUGGAUUCAGCGGCGGACGGGUGAGUAAUGCCUAGGAAUCUGCCUGGUAGUGGGGGAUAACGUCCGGAAACGGGCGCUAAUACCGCAUACGUCCUGAGGGAGAAAGUGGGGGAUCUUCGGACCUCACGCUAUCAGAUGAGCCUAGGUCGGAUUAGCUAGUUGGUGGGGUAAAGGCCUACCAAGGCGACGAUCCGUAACUGGUCUGAGAAGAUGAUCAGUCACACUGAAACCUAGACACGGUCCAGACUCCUGCGGGAGGCAGCAGAGGGGAAUAUUGGACAAUGGGCGAAAGCCUGAUCCAGCCAUGCCGCGUGUGUGAAGAAGAUCUUCGGAUUGUAAAGCACUUUAAGUUGGGAGGAAGGACAGUAAGUUAAUACCUUGCUGUUUUGACGUUACCAACAGAAUAAGCACCGGCUAACUUCGUG